rnacentral:rRNA from 1 species
GUCAACGACCAUACCACAAUGAACACACCGGUUCUCGUCCGAUCACCGAAGUUAAGCAUUGUCGGGCGAGGUUAGUACUUGGAUGGGGGACCGCUUGGGAACACCUUGUGUUGUUGGCAUUU